GAUCGCAUAGCUCAGUUGGUUAGAGCGCUGCUCUGAUAAGGCAGAGGUCCCAGGUUCGAAUCCUGGUGCGAUCA
rnacentral:tRNA from 1 species